GCACGUCAUCCUGAUUAUUGAGUUAUCGCACAUGUCACCUGUUGCUCAUUGGUGGUUUCUUCUUACACGCCAUCCAUAUUUGCUUAGUCAUCGAACACGUCAUUGCUGCGUGCUGAGUCGUUAACCUCGUCAGCGACACCGACGUCAUUAGAACCAUUCAUUUACUACGUGACAACUCCCUAUGAGUCACAGGGCACGUUGUUCCCUGAGUCAUCGCUUACAAUGGCUGCCGGAUGUAAACCGAAUCUUCCGAAAUAUUGGCUGAGUCAUUUUGAAGAAUCUCCGGCCAGAUUUCGUGAGUCACUAACCACGUCAAAGGCAUUUGAAGAGUCUCCGGCCACUUCAUUUAUACGCGGCAUCAGCCUCCUCACCUUCUUGGUCGUCGCAGUCUCCAAUUUUCAAAGACGACGGCUUUCGACGAUCUUGAGCUGUGAUUUGCCGAUAACGGCAGUGUCGUGUCGGCAGUCGAGGCCGAUCGCGUUGCUUGGAGAUGUUGUGGAAGAAGUCAAACCGUAGAAUGAUUUUCCCAUGACCUGCAUAGGAACAAAGUCCUUGUUCAUCUCAAAAAAAUUCAUACUAUUUUAAUAUUUAUAUAGGUAGCUACCUCACGAUAGUGAAACUUUGGAACUAAUCUUCAAAUGUCCUCAACUGUCUCUCCCAUCUCCGCAAAACCCGACUGCCCACCAGCAUCGCCGCCUCGGUCGCUGCCGCCUCAUCUAACCUGAUAUUGCUUCUUGGAAUGCUGCCAUUGCUGGUUGUGUAUCUCAUGAUUAUCAUGAUGUUGAAAAGCAAGAAAAGGAGCUGCUUCUUUCAUAUCACAGUGAAAAACUCGCAGUGGCUUUUGGACUGAUUGCUACUCCACCAGGAGCUCCUAUUAGGGUGAAAAAGAACCUUCAUAUUUGUUUGGAUUGCCAUUCAGCAUUCAAGUACAUUUGCAAGAUCUAAUCAAGAGAUAUCAACAGAUUCGACCACUUUAGAGAUGGAUCUUGCUCUUGUGGGGAUUAUUGGUAACAUUAUUUGAGCCUGAUACAUUCUUAUGUUGCUAAAGAAGCAAGCCACUCAGAAUGUAAGUGCUAAAGGCCUGUGUGAUAGAAUUUUCUUGGAUAAUGUGGUAGUGUGCUAAAGGCCUGUGUGACAAAAUUUUCUCUAUUUCUUUUUCUUCUAUUUGUGUUCAGUGCAACAGGCGUCCUUGUGAAAAUUCUAACAGACAAGAAACGCCUUUUAAAGAAAAGAAAGGGCAACCGACUCUCUCAUGUGGGUGAUAGUGAGCUUUCUCCAAAAGCUUAGGGGUUGUGGUACCAUUUUUUUGUUUUGUUUUGGUUAAAAAGGUUUUGAUGUCUAUUAAUGUUUUCAGUGUGGGGUAAAAUGCAAUUAGCCCCUGCUAAUUAGAGAGUUCUUGUAAUUUCUAUAAUGUAGAAAGUGACGGAGCUGCAAAGGCUAUAUUUUUAUAACUAAUUAUGAAUAAUAUAUUAUUUCCUUAUGAACCAGGCAAAAAGUUGAGCUACCAAUAAAACUGUAAGGUGACAGUUUCUGCAUGUUACUAUUUUCCGUAUCACUAUUAAGUUUAAUCUACUGGUAUAGAAGCUUAGGAGAAUUAUCACUCAUUUCCAUAACAAUCUUGCUGCUUGCUCAAUUAUUUGUGUGGUGCAUUAACAUAUUUCUGUGUGUUGCUAUAGGAAUGUUUUGGUCCUCUACUGUUGAGCUAUACAAUUUUGGUAAAAAACUAGAAAUUGUUGUUAGUUCACUUGCUAAAAGUGGGUUAAAUGCUAGUUAUGCGAUCAAAUCAAUGCUGGAUCUGAUUCUCAGAUAACUCAGUUAUGGCUUAUGAGUACAAUGUACAAACUUUUAGAUAUAAGGAAUGUGACUUUGCUAGAUUAUUAGUGUUAAAGGUCCUUGAGACUUGACAUCACCGUCAACUUCCUCUGGCUUAUCGUUGGCGCUCUUAUUUAGGUUCCAAACUCAACAAUGGCAACUAAACAUGAGGGUUAUGCUCGUUGCAGUGACUUUUGGUUUGUCAAAAGAACAUCCUCGCAUUAUUUGACAUUGAUUGGGGGCCUCACACUUCAAGCUACCACUUAAAUGAUGAACUAUUCUUCCUUACAUUUUUGCUUCACUUCUCAACCAUUUAGUUCGGAUGAUAACCUUUCAAUCCCUUAGACGACAAACAAAGGGGAUAUGAUCCUUCUAGCCACGGUUAUCUGUGCAGAAGCUUUUGAGAUCCUCCUAAUUAAGUUGGUUGUAUCCUAUUAGACUGUGGCACUAGGGAUAUCCUUCUGCUUAAACUGUCAUCAAAGAGUAAUCACUUCUUCCCUCCUCCACCUGACGAGUGAAGUGAAAGUGAAAAUGACAAAAUGUGGUCCGUGCUGUUAUAUGUUUCCGUCCUCUCUUCCAGGUGCCUUCUUCAAGUGCUUGCCAAUGUCCUGUUUGUUCAAAAGGAAAAAUACUAGGGAAAAGAUUGAACUUGCUGAAAAAAUAUAUUAUGUUCCUUGGUUUGAAUUGCAAAUAAAUCCAAACCCAUCUUUCGUGAUAGAUAAAUGCUGAGAUUUCAGUUUGAGGAUUUCGCUAACCAUAAUGUGUUUGAGCUGCCGGCCAGAUAUGGCACUACCCAUUUGGUCUUUAACGAUGAUAUACAGGGGACAGCAUCUAUCGUGCUUGCUGGGCUUGUUGCAUCGCUUACGCUGCUUGGCGGUACCUUGGCUGACCACAGCUUCUUGUUCUUUGGUGCUGGAGAAUGGAAGCUUUGACUGGUCAAUUAAUAGACGAACUCUGUCAUAAGGGAAUGAUUUAUCCUCCUUUGUUCAAUACAAGAAAGAUCUCUGCUCAUAUUGCUGCAAAUGUAGCUGCUAAAGCAUAUGAACUCGGUCUGACAACACGGCUGCCUCAACCUGCUUACUUGGUUAAGUAUGCUGAAAGCUGCACGUACACUCCAAGUUACAGAAGUUACCGAUUAAGCUCCUGCUCAUGAUGUGCAUUGUUCUGAGCAUGUUUGCUAACAUUAUGUUUAAUGUGUAUAUAUAUGUGUGCCAUAAGCUUCAUCAUGUUGUAAAAUUUGUUCGGUAGGAAUCCUGUUAGAGCAUGUAGUUUUCCAUAUUGGUCACAAAGAGUUGAUAACGGCUGAAGAUUUGGUUGUGGUGUUUAGUUAUAGUUUGCAAAACGAAUGUUUUACACCUUUGCAUGGGGUGGAGUCUUGCGCUGGAUUGAAGAAUACUGGAACAGGAUAGGAAGGAAAGAAAAACACAAGAAGCAUAUGAAUAAUUUUGUGUACCAAGAAUUUCAUUGUGUUCGUUUUGCAAGUCGAGCGUUCGAAGUAGCAAGUGUUGACUAUUGUGAAGGAAUUGAAAUAGU